UCCAAAUCCAAGAAGAUACGGAGCUAAGAAGCAAAGUUCUUCUAUCCACAUCCAUGGACCCAAGGAGUAAGGAGACAAAGGAAAGAAUGCCCUCACAUGGGUGAAUACCCUUUGCUAAGCAAAGAGAUGCUUCAAACAUAUAAAAGUUUCUCUACUCACUUUGUUUUUUUUUUGUUGCGUCUUGGUUCACCACAACUACUAGGCUUUGAAUUUCAUGGUUUAAGUUUUGUUUUAAAGUGCAUAGAAACAUGCUUUUGCCAUUUAUUCGUUAAAUGCAUGUAUUAUGUUGCUUAAUGAACUUAGUUUUUCAAAUAUUUUCCUUCAAGUGGUAUCAGAGCCUAGCUCUUGUAGUUUGUGAACCUUUAUGGGUUUUGUUGUUCAAUCUUUUGAUUUGAAUGUUGUAAUGGUUACAAGCAUGUUCUUACUUCUUUGAAUGUAAAUUUGGUUUGAAAAUUUUCCGUCUCAAAUAUUGUAGAUGUGGUUCAUAUGAGCAUGAAUUUUAUGCCUUUAGUUUUUGGAACUCCAUCCAAGUCCAUGGGUGGGUUUUUUGGGUACUUGCUUGUCUUGUUAAAAAUGUUUUAAAGUGACAUUAGGAACCCCUAAAUACCCUAGUAUGUUAAUAUGUUAUAUAUUUCCUUUAAGUUUGAGAGGUUUUGGGGUGUCUUUGGGUGAAAAAUGUUGAUGGAGCUCUUAUGGGUUUCAUGGAUGUUCUUCAAUGUUCUUGUUGUGUUCUAUACCCAAGCAAGUCUUCAAUUAUAACAUCCAUAUGAUUACAAAGUAAAGCUUCUAAAAACUCAAGGUAGUUUUCGACAUAUUUUUCUUCUACACCCAAGCAAGUCUUCAAUUAUAACAUCCAUAUGAUUACAAAGUAAAGCUUCUAAAAAAUCAAGGUAGUUUUCGACAUAUUUUUUGUAAUACCCUGAAAAUUUAAACAUAUGAAUUAUAUAUUCAUAAUUAUGAAUAUGUGAAGACAAUCGAAAAUAAAUCGAUUUACGAUUACGAAAAUAAAUUGGGAAAAUUGUAAAGUUUUGUUUCUGGAAAUUAUUAUAAUCUAUGUAUUGGUAUUCUUGAGAUUUUAUGUUAUUUUUCGAGUAAUUAUAUUAAUUGUUUGAGUUUAGUUUUAAAUUAAACUGGUUACGAAGUUUGAAGUUUGGAAAUUAAUUAUUUAAAAUUCGUAGACCAUUCGAGGUCACAAUUUAUAUUUUUGAAUAAAGCUCGAUCUUACGAACACGUGGACGCAAACUGUUUGUGAAACGAAAUUAUAAGCACGCAGUUCUUAUAUUUUUUAGAAAGCUAGUGCCUCUUCGAUUUUCGAAUUGGCCUCUUCGAUUUCUGAGCUAGCCUCUUCGAUCUCUGAAAUCUCGUCGAGUGCUGAUUUUUAUAGAGGCACACAGUUCGUUUCUAAGCACACUUGAAUUUCUGCCCGUAGAAAUUCCCUUCAUUGCACUUCUAAGAUCUCGAUUUGUCUGACCUCUUCUUUCUUCAACACCUUUGAAAAUGUCUGGCCCCUCCGACCGUCAUUUUGACUUAAACCUUGGUGAAGAGGCAUCCAUGCCUACUCUAGACAACAUAUGGCGCCCAUCCUUCAUAUCCCCUACUGGUCCUCUUACCGUUGGGGAUUCGGUGAUGAAGAAUGAUAUGACCAAUGCGGUGGUGGCCCGGAACCUUGUCACUCCCAAAGAUAACAGACUACUUUCCAAACGGUCUGAUGAGUUGGCUGUUAAGGAUUCUCUGGCUCUCAGUGUGCAGGUGCAGGUUCUGUGUCUAAUAUGGCCCAACGUCUAUUUGCUCGAACCCGUCAUGUUGAAUCAUUGGCGGCUAAAGUGAUGAGUCUCAAACAGGAGAUUAGAGGGCUCAAGCAUGAGAAUAAACAGUUGCACAAGCUUGCACAUAACUAUGCUACAAACAUGAAGAGAAAGAUUGACCAAAUGCAGGAAUCUGAUGGUCAGAUUUUACUUGAUCAUCAGAGGUUUGUGGGUUUGUUCCAACAGCAUUUGCCUUCGUCUUCUGGGGUUGUACCGCGUAGUGAAGCUCCAAAUGAUUAACCUCCGAUACCUCCUCCUUCUGUGGCUCCGCCGACUGUUGAUACUCCACCGACUACUGAGUCUUCUCCUAAGCAGCCUUUGUGAAGGCUCCUCUCUCUUGUAUUUUUCUGCCUCCUGUUCAUUUUCAACAAAUUUUAAUGUAAACUACCUUGCAUAUAUGUCAAUGUUUCAAAAAUAAAUCCACACCAAAAACAAUUAAACAAGCAACAAAUAAAAAUGACAAUCAUGGCAAAAUAAAAUUGCAGAAAAUGGAAGGUUUUUAAGAACGCAAAACAUAGGUUGCCUCCCAAGAAGCGCUUGCUUUAACGUCUUGUAACAGGACAAAACUUCCUUUAAAGCUUGGAUAGGGCCCACGGCACUAAGUGAGAUUUCUUCCACAAUCUGCCCCACAUCACUCUCAUAGUAUAACUUCAGGCGAUGCCCGUUCACUUUGAAUUCGUCGUCAUUCCUUAAGCUUUUAACUUAGACUGCACCAUGGGGAAAAACAUUAGUGACAACAAAUGGCCCAAUACACUUAGACCGUAACUUACUAGGGAACAAUCGUAGAUGGGAAUUGAAUAGUAGCACUUUCUGUCCAAUUGAGAAUGUUUUUCCCCGAAUCAUUUUGUCAUGAAACGCCUUUGUUUUCUCCUUGUAAAUUCGCGCAUUCUCAUAGGCUUCGUUCCGUAUCUCCUCAAGUUCAUUCAAUUGGAGCUUCCUAUUCAUUCCAGCAGAAGUCCAAAUUGAAUGUUUUCACAGCCCAGUGCGCUUUAUGCUCCAGUUCCAUAGGUAGGUGACACGGCUUGCCGUAGAUUAGUCGAAAUGGAGACAUCCCUAGAGGUGUUUUGUGGGCAGUGCGAUAUGCCCACAGUGCAUCAUCUAAACGCAAGCUCCAAUCAUUCCGGUUUGGCCCAACCGUCUUUUCCAAGAUUUGCUUGAUUUCUCUAUUUGAGACUUCGGCUUGGCCACUUGUUUGAAGGUGGUAUGGCGUGGAAACUCGAUGCUUCACAUUGUACGUUUUAAACAUCGCCUCAAUGGUGCGAUUGCAAAAGUGGGAGCCUCUAUCGCUUAUGAACACCCUCGGCAUGCCAAAUCUGGAAAAGAUGUUAGCCUUGAUAAAAUCUGCCACCACUCUAGAAUCGUUAGUACGGGUGGCCUUGGCUUCCACCCAUUUCGACACAUAAUCAACGGCUAGCAAAAUAUAAGUAAAACGAUAUGAGGGAGGAAAGCUAGCGCCUCUUCGAUUUUUGAAUUGGCCUCUUCGAUUUCUGAGUUCACCUAUUCGAUCUUUGAAAUCCCGUCGAGUGCUGAUUUUUAUAGAGGCACGCAGUUCGUUUCUAAGCACACUUGAAUUUCUGCACGUAGAAACUCCCUUCAUUGCACUUCUAAGAUCUCGAUUUGUCCGACCUCUUCUUUUUUCAACACCUUUGAAAAUGUCUGGCCCUUCCGACCGUCGUUUUGACUUGAACCUUGGUGAAGAGGCAUCCAUGCCUUCUCCAGACAACAUAUGGCGCCCAUCCUUCAUAUCCCUUACUAGUCGUCUUACUAUUGGGGAUUCGGUGAUGAAGAAUGAUAUGACCGCUGCGGUGGUGGCCCGGAACCUUGUCACUCCCAAAGAUAACAGACUACUUUCCAAACGGUCUGAUAAGUUAGCUGUUAAGGAUUCUCUGGCUCUCAGUGUGCAGGUUCUGUGUCUAAUAUGGCCCAACGUCUAUUUGCUCGAACCCAUCAAGUUGAAUCAUUGGCGGAUGAAGUGAUGAGUCUCAAACAGAAGAUUAUAGGGCUCAAGCAUGAGAAUAAACAGUUGCACAAGCUUGCACAUAACUAUGCUACAAACAUGAAGAGGAAGAUUGACCAGAUGCAGGAAUCUGAUGGUCAGAUUUUACUUGAUCAUCAGAGGUUUGUGGGUUUGUUCCAACAGCAUUUGCCUUCGUCUUCUGGGGUUGUACCGCGUAGUGAAGAAAAUAUGUGAAGAAAAUCGAAAAUAAAUCGAUUUACGGUUACGAAAAUAAAUUGGGAAAAUUGUAAAGUUUUGUUUCUGGAAAUUAUUAUAAUCUAUCUAUUGGUAUUCUUGAGAUUUUAUGUUAUUUUUCGAGAAAUUAUAUUAAUUUGUUUGAGUUUAGUUUUAAAUUAAACUGGUUAGAAGUUUGAAGUUUGGAAAUUAAUUAUUUAAAUUCGUAGACCAUUCGAGGUCACAAUUUAUAUUUUUGAAUAAAGCUCGAUCUUACGAACGCGUGGACACAAACCGUUCAUGAAACGGAAUUAUAACAAAAGAGUUAUUAACGUUUGAAGUUAGGGAUAUUUUUGUAAAUUUAAUCUUUAAUCUAGAAGGCUCCAAAUUCUAGAGCAAUCCUUUGGGGCCACAUGGACAGCUGAGAUGAAAAGGGGAGGAGAGAAAGGAGAGAAGGAGGGCCAAUCAGAAAGAAGAGAAAUGAGGGGAAAGGAGAAAAGAAAAGGAAGGGAAUCGGAUCCCCUUUGAGUACCCGUGACUCGACCUGGUUCCAUCUCCCAACUCCGGCCACCUU
rnacentral:lncRNA from 1 species